CACUUCCCUUGGAGACCUGGCCAUGCACCUGUUGGCAGCCAGGCCAGGUUCUGCUCUGCCCCUCACACUGAGCAGCCUCUUUGUGAAUAGGAGUCAUCAUGGCCCCUAGUUCUGCCUCUAGGUACAAUGUUGCAUGGAUCCAGGAAUGCUUUGGGUGAAAGGGCCCAGCAGGACUGAGGCCUGGGAGUGAGCUCUGUAACCCUCUGUCUCCCCAUCAGUAAAACGGAGAGCGAAGGGAAAGCAGCAUGAAUCAGUGAGGCUGGGGGAGGAGUCAGCAUGAGCCCCAGCCAGCCUCCUCAGCUUCAGGGCCUCCCCACUGCAGCCACGAAGAGGAGAGGGCUUGGUGAGCAUGGGCUUGGUCCUCCAGAAGGACUUGGGGAGGCAAGUUGCAGGGAUCACAAAACAACCUCCUUCAAUACCCUUUUCCCAUUGCUCAGAGGGAGAAAUUGAGGCCCAGAGAGGGCUAGUGACUUGCACAAAGUCAUAUAGCAAGAUAGUAGCUGCAAGGAUUCAAACCCAAGUCCCUUUCUUUGGAGCCAGUUAUACUCCCAAUAAGCCCUAUGGCUGCCCAAGUACCCCAGGCCACUGGCAAAAUUGAGAAGAAAGCAAAGCAAUAGGGGCAGCAGUAAUUCCUGUGUAUUGUGGAUUUAGCAGGUAUUGGGUAUUGCGCUGCAACCCCUCACGUGCACCUUGUUUAGUCCUCGCUGCAGUCCUAUAAGGUUAAGGCACAUGAUACACAUUAUCAGCAUCAUCCCCAUUUUAGAGAUGAGAAAAUUGAGGAUCAGAGAGGUUAUGUGAUUUCCUCCAGGUCAAUUCAAGAGACUUGAACCCAGACCUGCUGAUCCCAGAGCGGCAUACAAGGACCCAGCCCUCAAUCCUGGGGUCUUUCUGUGGUGUAACUCUUGGGGCGUGCCGAUGGGGGCUGCCUCGUGCUGACCACAGCAAGGCCCAGGGAAUGAGCAUUUUUCCGUCCAUCCAUCUGUCUACCUACCUAUCCAUCUGUUGACUCAACAAAUAUUUACCCAGGGCUUUCUCCAUGCCAGGCAAUAUUCAGGCAUUGGGAGGCACACAGCAGUGAACAAAGCAGGCAGUGCCUGGCUUCGUGGCCCUCAUACCCUCGUGGGGAGAGGCAGACUAUAAACAGAGAAACAACAAAGAUGUGUGUCAGGUGGUGGUGAGGGCUAUGGAGAAAAACAAAGCCAGAGGAGGGGGCAGCGCAGGAUGGCGGGGUCGGAGAAGGCUUCUCUGAGGAGGUGACAUUUGAGCGGUGAUCUGAAGGAGGUGAGGGCGUGGGCCAUGUGGGGGUCACUAGAGAAGGGUUUCUGGCAGAGGAAAUAGCGGGAGCAAAGGCCCUGAGGUGGCAGCGUGCCUGGCAUGUUGGAGGAACAGAGAACAGGUCAGUGCAGCUGGAGACAGCAAGCAAGCGGCAGGGCGUUGGGGAGGUGGAGAGGUCAGUGGGAAUGAGACCAAGGGCGGCCCUGUCAGGUUUUCUUCUGAGUGAGAUGGAAGCCAUUGGAGGUUCUGAGCAGAAGCGUGGAAUCAUCUGAUUUAGUUUUUAAGAGCAUCUUCUGGCUGCUGGAGUGAGGAUGUACUACAGGGCUCAAAGGAAGAGGGAGCGGGGGUUAGAAAGGCAACGUAGUAUGUGGGUGUCAGAUGGCAGAGGCUAGGGCCACGCAGAGUGAAGGAGGUGGAGAGGGAGGCCAAGAUCUGAAUAUAUUCUAAAGGCUAAGCCACAGGAUUAGGGUCUGAGAACCCUCUAGGAUGGCUCCAGGUUUUUGGCUUAAACCAGAAUGAAACUGUCAUUUAUGCAGGUGGGGAGGACUGCUGGAAAAGCAGUGCAGGCCCGGGCUUUGCACAUCUCAAUUCGUUUGUGCCUUAUAUUCCUCAAGCAUCAGAAUCACCGGAGACACUUGUUAAAGUCCAGAUUUCUGGGAUCCUCCACCAGAGUUUCCCAUUCAAUAGAGCUGGGUGGGGCCUGAGAAUGUGGAUUUCCAAUCAGUUUCCAGGUGAUGGCGAUGCUGCCAGUCACAGGACCUCACCUUGAGACCCACGGAUUGUUGCAGCGGGGGAAGUGGAGGCUCACAGCUGGAAGGCGACUGGUAAUAAAGUCAUAAAUUGA